UGAGUACGAGAUGCUACGGCAUCGAAGCAGUCUAUGUCAUACUUCCAAGAAAAGCUUGCACUGUCAUAAACAAAGAAUGCCUGUACCAUAACCGACACAGGUGGGUAGGUAGAGUAUACUAAGGGGCGCGAGAUAACUCUCUCUAAGGAACUCGGCAAAAUGACUCCGUAACUUCGGGAGAAGGAGUGCCUUAUUUCUAAGGUUGCAAUAACAAGAUCCAAGCAACUGUUUACCAAAAACACAGGUCUCCGCUAAGUCGUAAGACGAUGUAUGGGGGCUGACGCCUGCCCAGUGCCAGAAGGUUAAAGAAGUUGGUUAGCAUUAGCGAAGCUGAUAACUGAAGCCCUGGUGAACGGCGGCCGUAACGAUAACGGUCCUAAGGUAGCGAAAUUCCUUGUCGGGUAAGUUCCGACCCGCACGAAAGGCGUAAUGAUUUGGAUACUGUCUCGGAGAGGGGCUCGGUGAAAUAGACUUGUCUGUGAAGAUGCGGACUACCUGCACCUGGACAGAAAGACCCUAUGAAGCUUUACUGUAACUUGAGAUUGAAAUUGGACUUUAUUUGCGCAGUAUAGGUGGGAGGCGUUGAGAAUAAUCUUGCGGGAUUGUUGGAGCCAUCAGUGAGAUACCACUCUUGUAAUGUUAGAUUUCUAACUUUGUAUCAUUAUCUGGUCAAAGAACAGUUUCAGGCGGGCAGUUUGACUGGGGCGGUCGCCUCCCAAAGGGUAACGGAGGCGCACAAAGGUUUCCUCUGAACGGGUAGAAAUCGUAUCUAGAGUGUAAAGGCAUAAGGAAGCUUGACUGUGAGACCCACAAGUCGAGCAGGGACGAAAGUCGGUCUUAGUGAUCUGACGGUGCUGAGUGGAAAGGCCGUCACUCAACGGAUAAAAGUUACUCUAAGGAUAACAGGCUGAUCUCCCCCAAGAGUUCACAUCGACGGGGAGGUUUGGCACCUCGAUGUCGGCUCAUCGCAUCCUGGGGCGGUAGUCCGUCCCAAGGGUUGGGCUGUUCGCCCAUGAAAGCGGUACGCGAGCUGGGUUCAGAACGUCGUGAGACAGUUCGGUCCAUAUCCGGUGUAGGCGUUAGAAUAUUGAGAGGAGCCUUCUCUAGUACGAGAGGACCGAGAAGGACAUACCUCUGGUGUACCAGUUAUCGUGCCAACGGUAAACGCUGGGUAGCUAUGUAUGGAGUGGAUAACCGCUGAAAGCAUCUAAGUGGGAAGCCCACCUCAAGAUAAGUAUUCUCAU
rnacentral:rRNA from 1 species